AGACUCCUCGCAGCCAGCGAUGGAGGCGAGACCCCCUAGUAACAGAGGCGGUGGCUACUGCUGCGGCCACUGGGUUUCGGCCUCUUCCCAGCAGCGGCUCUAAGAAGCGCAGCGGAACUCGACCGGAUCCAACCCAGUUAGUUACUUCCUGUCUAGAGUUGUAGCUUCCACCUGAGACAGGGUUUCACCAUGUUGACCAGGCCAUUCAGCCGACUUGUAGCAGUGCAACAGAUUGAGUUCUCCUGGGAAGAAGUGUUUGCCACUCAAGGAAUACACUCAAGAAAAACCUGGAAAUCACAGAAGGCAUUGUAAGAUAGCUACAGUGAUUCUGUUAAACCUCCUGAAAUUGGUCCUUGAACAAUUAAGAGGUGCUACAGAUGACCAGGAAAAUUUACCAGGCAAAUUAGCUGUGAGACAAUUGACCAUUUGUGCCCAAUGUUCGCACCUUCUAGCCACCAUGGCAACCUCAUCUGAAGAAGUUUUGCUGAUUGUAAAGAAAGUGCGUCAAAAGAAGCAGGAUGGAGCUCUGUACCUCAUGGCAGAAAGAAUUGCUUGGGCACCUGAAG
rnacentral:sRNA from 1 species